GGUUCCCGUACGAUCACCGAAGUUAAGCAACGACGAGCCUGUUCAGUACCUAGAUGGGUGACCGCUUGGGAAUACUAGGUGCUGUAA